rnacentral:lncRNA from 1 species
CCCCCCCCCAUUCACACGCCUACUCUCUCUCUCUCUUACCUCUAUCUCUUUUCCCUUUCUACCACCAUGGAUAACCAUUCUCAAAGCUUCCAAGAUCAUUUCUAUACCAAGAAACUCCAUCAAAUCAAGUCUUAAACAUCUAUAUUCCUUGAAUCAAGAACUAGUUUGGAGGGAUUUUCAAGCUUGAAGCAAAAGAGAAGAUUUUUAUCCUUCCUUAAAUAAUUGAGUAAGUACUAGAUCUAUUUAGAUCUAAGCUUGAUUGAGUUAUAUAUGUGUAUAAAUGGUUUAGACCUAGCAAGAAAACAUCAUUUUCUAUUUUUUAGUAAUUUUUGAAAUUUAGGGGUUCUCCCCUUCAAAAUAUUUUUCUUAUUCUUUUCUUAAUUUGGCAUGAGAUCUAUGCUUAUUGAGGUGUUUUGAGAUGAUUUCUAUGUGUAUUGAGAGACUUUGCCAUGAGAUAUGAUUUUUCAUUUAGGUUAGUUUGUCUAAAAUAAGAAAUUCUUGUAUCUAUGGAUUAAAUGAUGAAUUGAUGAUGAAUAUGAGCUUAUGAGAUGACUAAUAUGAUAUUUGAUGGAGUAGAUUGAUGAUUGAAGUUGAUGGUCAAAUUUCGGUGAGAGGUAGUUUGAUGUGAUUUGGGUAAAACUUAUUCUAUGGUUUAAUUGAUUGUUUAUUUAUGCUUUUAAGUGUGCCAAUUUAAUAGAUCUAAGGCUGGAUUAAUGAUUUAUGCAUGUUUACAAAUUUUCAAAAAGUUUAGUUUGUUAAAAAUUGGGACUUUGUGAUCUAUGUGUUAAUUGAUUAAAUUGGCUAAGUUUAAUUGUUAUUAAGCAUGAUAGAAAUGAUAAUCAGGGAUCAAUUUGGUUAAUUGUCAAGAAUGCCUAAAAUUGGAUAAGUUUAGUUUACUAAUAAUUGGGAACUUUUGAUUAAUGAGAUAAAUACUUGAAUUGAUGGUGUUUAUAUGUUAGUUAGACUACUAGCAAGGAGAAAGCAUGAUUAAUUUGGUUAAUGAUGUUGAUUUGUGAAAAUUUCCCUAGUUUAGUUUGCGUGCAUACAUGAGACCUUAUAUAUAAGAUGAGUUAUGAGUCGAGCAUGUUUAUGUAUGGCUAUUUGAUGAUUAAUUGAGCUUAUAUAUGCGAUAUGUGACGAAACGGACCAACCCCUAAUGACUUAUGUGUUGGCCGAAUGUAAGGAGUAAAAGAGAAAGUCGAUGUUUGAAUUUUCUUGAGUUAUAUGAUUAUGUAUUUAUGUUAUUGUGUAUUAUGUGAGCUUAAUUUGAAUUUUUGAGAAUUUUGCAUCGAAGAAGUCCGGAGUCUAAGCAUAAUUGCUUGUAUGUUCAAGUUUGGAGUCAUUUUAUGACCUUUUCUACCUACUGUUUCGUUGGGUUAUUGAUACCCAAAGACCUUGAAAAUUUAUGGUAAGAUUAUAUGAGAGUCUUGAGCAUACCGGUAAAAUUUCAAGUCAAUUGGACUUCGUUUACUAUUUUUAUAAAAUGCAAAACUAAAACUGCUACUUUCUGCCGAAAUGUUCGGUGAGUAGCCAAUAGAGUCACCUUUUCCAGUAUCUUUCCCUAACGUUCUGGAGCCCAAAUUUUUAUUGUUAAUACAUGAGUGUCUUAUCUAAGUACCCACCAAAUUUCAAGCCUUUUCGGCAACGUUUACUAUUUUUCAAAUCAAGGUUUUCAAUUGCUCAAACUGCCGAAUAUGGUAGACUGUAGGAAACAGUCAUAUCUCCUAAACUACUUGGAGUUUUUCAUCCUACUUUUUUUUUUAAAUGAAACUAGACUCAAAGAGGUUUCAAUUGGUAUAGGUCACGACUCCAGUGGAGUUCUGUACCGAGUCUGGUGAAGUCUUUAAAUUGAGUCAGUGCAGAAUGAUGUUUGUUUGUGACAUGUCUAUGUGUGAAUUUAUAUGCUUAUGUGAUUAUGCUUGUUUAUGUGCUUGAUUGCUAUGAGUUUAACCCGAGUUGAGUGUUAAGUCGAGAGUAGGACUUGUGAAUCCUUAGGAGUUAAGUAUACCUAGGGAUUGAGAUUUAUUUGGGUAAAUAGAAGAUGAGUGAUAAGUUAUAUCUUGAGACGAGAUUGGAUUUUAGUAAAUGAGUUUCUAACUGAGGUUUAUCUUAUCUCAUGAACCACUCACGUUGUGACAUCUGAAGAUACGAGCAGAGGACGGAGGUAAUAUCGCCCAAGUAUUACGAGAGUAAGCUAAGUUUGUCAGGUGGGCAUUAUUUUGAGUAUACAUAUUAUACGAGCUUUCUUAAAUGAUAUGAUACUUAUGAUUAUGAAUUGAGUUAAUGUUAUGCUUGAAACUAAUUGACUUGCCGAGUUUUGUUAAUAAUGACUUGUGUGUUACCCUCUACUGAUGAGACGAAUUCGGUCCUGCCACAAGCGGGAUUUUGUGCACAGAGGUGACUGUGAGCCGUCUAUCGGGUCGGCCGGUCACGGUACUUGAGAGGGAGGCCUACUUCUCAGUACCUUUGAUGAUGAGUAGUGGAUGUGGUACAUACUUAAUGAAUAUUUAAACUGCGCAGUUACUUUAUUAUGAUGUUAUGAAUUGCGAAAUUGCAUGCACAGGUUCUUCUCUAACUAAAACCCCUGUGUGUGCUUAAUGUGGCAAGUUCAAUUUAUAGCUCUAAGAGCAAGCUUUCAUUUGUUUUUCGGCAUAUGUCCACUGAGUACUUUGUACUCAGCCCUGCAUGUAUUUCUAAAUGUGCAGGAUAAGCGAGGAUGGAGAAUGGUCUGGUGUUGGCGAGGAUUUUGUUCCGAUGUUAUCCUUUUAUCGUAUUUAUAUUACAUACGGUAGCUUUUUGAUGUCGAUGUUUAUAUUUUGGACUUAGUCAAGAAGUAUACUCUCGGCUAUAUGUCUUCAUACAUAUAGUCUGUAUACGUUUUGCUGCGAGACUCUGUAAAUUAUAAACCUUUGUAAAUUUUUAACUAUGUCUACUUUGUAAACUUUGUCG